AACAGAUCUAUCCAGCGCACUGUGGCGAGAUCUUAAAAUGACUGUGUUCAAGGUGGGAAGAAGCUGCAGGAAGUCUAUUGGGCAACACAACACAGGAUGUUCAAAUGGCUGCCUGUGGGAGAAGGAAAUAACAGUGAAGAACGGCACACAAUGGGUACAUGAAGUAAUCAAUGUGCUGCCGACCGUAGGGGAGCAAAGACUGGAUUUCACGAGGAGAACAGGGAUCUUCAGAAAGGUGGGAGCAGGUUUGGCGGUGACAGUCAGAAACCACACAGCACUGAGUAGUGAAGGUAGUAGCUGCUGCAAUUUUAUUUCUAACUCUAGAUGUAUAUAUACUAGUUUCAAGGGCACACUUCAAGAGUGAUUCCAGUCACAGGCAGGCAUGAGAAAGAUAGACAAUAGUACUGUAAAAGCUAAGACCACAAGGUCAAGGUGAGACCACACCUAUAUACAAUCACAAAAGCUAAGACCACUAAGUCAAGGUAAGACCACACCUAUACGCAGUCAGAAGGGGAAGUUUGUAAAACAAAGGACUGGCUUCAGCAUGUUACCUUCAGGAUCACCUUCAGGACUUCACAGUCCCAGGCUCAGGGUCAGCACUUUGGCCGCCCGUCCUCUUGUGCCCCAACACCUCCCCAUCUCUAGGAACAUCUAAUUGUUCCUGAUCUUUCCUGGGCCCAGCAU
rnacentral:lncRNA from 1 species